CUAAGGUGACUGCCGGCGUAAAAGUACGGAGGAAGGUGGGGAGUGACGUCAAAUCAUCAUGCCCUUAUGACCUGGGCUACACACGUGCUACAAUGGGCGGUACAAAGGGUCGCGAACCCGCGAGGGGGAGCCAAUCCCAAAAAGCCGCUCUCAGUUCGGAUUGCAGGCUGCAACUCGCCUGCAUGAAGCCGGAAUCGCUAGUAAUCGCGGAUCAGCAUGCCGCGGUGAAUACGUUCCCGGGCCUU
rnacentral:rRNA from 1 species